rnacentral:tRNA from 2 species
GGAGAGAUGUCUGAGUGGUUUAAAGAGCACGCCUGGAAAGUGUGUGUACGGGUUAAACCGUACCGAGGGUUCGAAUCCCUCUCUCUCCG